GAGGAAUGGCGGAGUGGUCGAACGCGGCGGUCUUGAAAACCGUUGUCCGGUAUCCCCGGACCGGGGGUUCGAAUCCCUCUUCCUCC
rnacentral:tRNA from 1 species